rnacentral:rRNA from 1 species
CAAUAGCGUAUAUUAAAGUUGUUGCAGUUAAAAAGCUCGUAGUUGAAUUUCUGGGUGGCCCGCCGGUCUUCCAUGUGUUGUACUGGGCGGCGCCGGCCAUCCUUGUGGAGAGGGCUCGCAUUUGGCUGCGUGUCGGAUCUGCAUCAUUUACUGUGAAAAAAUUAGAGUGUUUAAAGCAGGCUGUCGCUUGAAUACAUUAGCAUGGAAUAAUAAGAUAGGACUUCGGUCUAUUUUGUUGGUUGCGAACCGAGGUAAUGAUUAAUAGGGAUAGUUGGGGGUAUUCAUAUUUAAUUGUCAGAGGUGAAAUUCUUGGAUUUAUGAAAGAUGAACAACUGCGAAAGCAUUUACCAAGGAUGUUUUCAUUAA